GUGAGUGUCAGGGUCUGGCCGCGGCGGUAGAGGAGGAGGGCCUGGUGGCCGCUGUCCUCCUCCUCUUGGUAGCCAAGGAGGUCUCGAAGAUUCGAUGAAUGCGGGAUUGCCAGCAAAUCUGAGAGCGUCAGCCUCAUUCGUCAUGACCCUCCUAUUUGCCUCUAAAAUCUCAAUCAAUUUAGGACAAAAUCCAACAAAUUGGGAGAAGUUAUCCCGAAAU
rnacentral:lncRNA from 1 species